ensembl:piRNA 21ur-2890 ncRNA
UCCUUCAAACGUGUCCAUUAC